rnacentral:rRNA from 1 species
ACGUCUCAGUUCGGAUUGUAGUCUGCAACUCGACUACAUGAAGCUGGAAUCGCUAGUAAUCGCGAAUCAGAAUGUCGCGGUGAAUACGUUCCCGGGUCUUGUACACACCGCCCGUCACACCAUGGGAGUCAGUAACGCCCGAAGCCGGUGACCCAACCGAUAAGGAGGGAGCCGUCGAAGGUGGGACCGAUAACUGGGGUGAAGUCGUAACAAGGUACC